rnacentral:rRNA from 1 species
UACGUAGGGAGCAAGCGUUGUCCGGAUUUAUUGGGCGUAAAGCGCCCGCAGGCGGCUUGGCAAGUUCGAGGUGAAAUCUCCCGGCUCAACUGGGAGGGUGCCCCGGAAACUGCCAGGCUUGAGGCAGGGAGAGGGAUGUGGAAUUCCCGGUGUAGUGGUGAAAUGCGUAGAUAUCGGGAGGAACACCAGUGGCGAAGGCGGCAUCCUGGCCCUGUCCUGACGCUCAGGGGCGAAAGCGUGGGGAGCAAACCGG